rnacentral:lncRNA from 10 species
UGAGUGGGCUGUUUAGAUACGAUGUUGAGGGGGAGUUUUUAUUCAGUAGAUGAGAUAUCUAAAAAACAAACAACAAAGAAGGUGCUUCAUGAGAAUAAAAAGCAUUCCAGGGAGAAGAGCUAGUGAAAGUUCUCUGCAUCUGGAUGAGCUUGGCCGACGUGAGGGACAGAGGAAGGUGCAGGGUAGAACGAGGUGAUGCAUUUGAAGACAAUAAAGCAUAGAGCUACAGAAGUGAGUAGCUACAUCAUAAAGAAAACAGAAGCAUGCAAACACCCUUGGCUAGCCCAACUGCAUGCCUGGAAGAGCACGGAGGAAGUAACUGCAGAGCACAACUAAAGUUAAUGUGGCUGGGCACAGUGGCUCACGCCUGUAAUCCCAGCACUGUGGGAGGCCGAGGUGGGUGGAUCACUUGAGGUCAGGAGUUCGAGACCAGCCUGGCCAUCAUGGUGAAACCCCAUCUCUACUAAAAAUACAAAAAUUAGCCAAGUGUGGUGGUGCACACCUGUAAUUCCAGCUACUCAGGAGGCUGAGGCAGGAGGAUCACUUUUAACCCAGGAGGCAAAGGUUGCCGUGAGGCAAGAUUGUGCCACUGCACUCCAGCCUGGGCAAUAGAGCAAGAUUCUGCCUCACAAAAAAAAAAAAAAAAAAGUAGAGCAUGUAAUAAACUAAUACUGAGGGUGGCAGAAAUAAAACAAUGGGUGAAAAUUAAAGCAAUUACAAAGGAAAGCAAUAGUAUAAUGUAACACAAUUUUGGGACAUACAAAAAAAAUCAAAUGGGA